UCCUCGGCACUCGUAUUGGAUGACUUGGGAGGGUCAUGAGAGACCCUUCAGAACCUGCAGCAUGCAGUGGAAAGUGCUUCUUUUUUUAUGAAAGGGGUCUUUUCCUAAUUAGUUUUAGAAUACCUACUCUUUUUUCAGCCUCUGGGAAGAGCAUCAGUGCUAGCAAUCUUCAGGCACAAAAUUGUGAGAAAGGGGACUAUUAAUAAUAACAGUUUGAAUUAUUAUGAGGACUUGGUUUGAAGUUAUGAAGAUGCACUGCGGAUGCUAUGGAAGUUUAAGGCUAUGCCUCCAGCAGCUCUUGACUCUUUCCGCUAUUUACCUAAGGGCUACACAAGUUUUGUUUACGAUCUCAACAUCACAGUCCUUUCAUCUGAAGCACAAAGCAUUGUUCAGCCACUUAAGAUGAAGUACUAAUCCCUGUAGCUUUGAGUUUCCUUGCCUCUCCCUGCUUAGGCUCUUCUAGGAAGGGGUCAGAGGUCCUGUGUGUGGAUCCAGCCUUUGUUCUUGGUGCUUACCUUGGUCACUGAUCAUGUUCAUUUUCUGAAGAUGAGCAUCUUGUAUUUCUUUGUGAUCAAGUGACAAAAUUCCACCAACAUCUGCCAAAAUGAAUGGUCCAGAAAACUUGUUAUGGUUUCAAGAUCAGGUUGGGUUUUUUGUUUUUUUGGUUUUUUUUUAAGAAAAGAGAAAUCCUUCCAAUUACCUGGAGUUCUGAACACACUUGGUUGCCUCCCAGAAAUACAAUAAAAGGAAACCAGAAGUAUUUUAGUCCCUGGUUAUUUAUGAAUGCAGCCAAUUUUCCUUUUUAGACUCUGAAGGUCACAGAAUCUAAUCCAGUGGAACCACAAAAAAGCAGCUUCCCCUUUCCAUAAGUUCUCCUGCCGACCCUUUCUCCUCAGUUCUGUUAAGAGUAGGGCCUUGCUGGCUGUAAGUGGAAAGCAGGGCAUCACCGAGAGUUUCCAGGGCUUCCUACUCAAAGCAGGUCACAAAGAAAGCUGCUUUGGAAGUUACCGGGAGGAAACUGAGGCACAAGUGCAAAGGUCUCUGAAGGCCUUCAGGGCACCUCUGUGCUGCUUCUCAGGCUGUCCCAGGGAGAAGGUGAGGAAAAAAAACCUCUACUCAGCUCCCAAGAAAGCCAAGCCCUUCAAGCCUGGGCUGGGACCAUGGGCAUGGAACUGGAUUUGCCUAGGAAGUGAAUAAUUAACCCGCGUCCUUGACAUCAGAGGAAGGUGAGAGAAGAAUGAAUGGCAUCUAUUGUUCUCGAGUUCUAAUCUACAGAGCCUGCGUGUCCUUGCCAUGAGAUGAACACAGCAAGGAUUCUGGCCUAUUUUUGAGCACAUUAAUAAAUAGGCCCUGAAUAAAGUCUCUGCCUCUUUUUCCUUUUCUGCACAUCCAAUAGAAUACUUUUCAUUUUUAAUCUACAGGUUGUUCAGUAAUGUCUAUUUGUAUUUCAUAAUGUACGAAAUCUCAUCCUGCUCAUAUUUCUUCCUUUAGGACUUAAUGAAUAGCAAGGAAAUAUCUUCUAAUUGAUAAACUUUUUAUAUAAUUUUAGAAACCUCAAUACUUCCGAUAUCCAAAUUGUACAAGAUUUAAAAAGGAAUAUUAAAAAUAAGAACUAACGUGUCAAACACCAACUCUGUGGAAAGUACUGUACUUGGAUACUUGGUGCCAGCUACUCUAUUUAAUCUUCAAAACAACCCUAGGAACCAAGAGGAGUCCUUCCAGGUCUCUGUAAGAAGGCAGCCUCAGAGGGAUCUUAUCUUCACAGUCACAGAAGGCAUGUGUCAAAGGGAGCUCAACCAGAACCCCAAAGUGUAUAUUCAUUUCACCACACCACAAUUACAGGUGGUCUUGGAAGUCUAGAAAGAUACAGCAAGAGCUUUUCUCACUGCCUCAUUCAGUGUAGCCUCCUUAAGAGCAUCUGGAGAAGAUCCGUCCUGCCAGCUGGGGACGGGGCACCUUUAUCCAGAUGGAGAUAAGACAGGUCUUGGGUGAAGAGUUAGGAUAACAAUCCUUUCCCACCUGUCCCCUGGCCAACUCUUUGUUUCUGGAUUUUUCUAGGGGUGGAAGAUGGUUCUGGUAACAGAGAUCAAACUGCAUUCUCAGACGUAUCUUAACAUUCCCAGGAUUGUCUAAAGAUCAAAAUGGAGAGGACGGGGAAGGGUGGCAGAUACCAGACUUCAGGAGAGACUGUCUUUAAGACAGGAGGCAGUCUAAGGAAGAAGUGGUCAGUCUGACUCAGUAAUAAGACAGAGAUCCAAGGCUCACUGGCAUCCACAUUCUGCUUGAUCAGAGAGCAGUCCCAGCAGGUAGUGGGAGGACUGGGUCAGGCUGCCAAGCCUCUUGUCCCCAGCCCCAGCACACCAGGCUCCAGCAAAAUCAUAAUCUGGGGCUCUUAACAUUUUCUUCUUUUGUUCUAGGGAUCUUUUUGGUGGUCAGGCAAAGCCUAUAGAUUCUCUAGCAGAAUAAUGUUUUAAGAGCCUAAAACAACUUACUGUAGUUUUAAAGGAAGCCACUAAUAUAGAAGGAUGACCCACAACAUUCCCAGGGACUUUAGGACAUGAUUAGGAUGAGGGGGAAAGGACUUUGCAAGAGGAGUGGUCUUUCCCUAGGCAGGUGGGGCAUGCAUUAUCAAAACUUUCAGGAAAUAAAUGAAUGGUGUGAAAAUAAAUGUGCUUCUAAAAGGUAAGUAGAAAUCUUGAAGACAUAGGAGUACGUAGCAAGUUCAUGAACAAAACCCAAACUGCACGGGAAUUACUUUGAGGAAUCAAUAACUGGGAUCUCACUUUAUUAAAAAGUUUUUGACCAUCAAAAGAAAGCACCAACAGAGUGAAAAGACAACCCACAGAACUGGAAAAUAUUUGAGCCAACUGUCUCUCCGACAAAGGACUUACAUAUAGAACAUAUAAAGAACUGAAAAAAAUCAGGCCCCAAAUUCAGAGACUCAAUCUAAAAACGAGCAUCUGAGAUGAAUAUGUACUUCUCAGAUGCAGAAAUACAAAUAGUAAAUAAAUAUAUGAAAAAAUCUUCAUAAUCACUGGUCAUUUGAGAAAUGCAAAUUAAAACAAAACAGAUUCCAUCUCACCGCAGGAGGAAUGGCUGUUAUAAAGAAAUCAACCAAUAACAAAUGCUGGAGGUGCUGUGGGGGAAAAAGGAACACUUGUCCACUGUUGGUGGGAAUUUACACUGGUGCAACCUGUGGAAAUCAAUGUGAGGAUUCCUCUAAAAACCAGGACUAGAGGUGCCAUCUCACCAGCUAUUCCCCUUCUGGGUAUUUCCCCAGAAGAACUGAAAACAUCAUACCACAGCGAUAUAUAUGCAUCCACAUUUAUAGCAGCACAAUUUGUAACAGUCAAAUCUUGGAAACAACCCAAAUGCCCCUCAAGUGAGGGCUGGAUAAAAAAGGUGUGGUAUUUCUAUGCAAUAGAGCUAUAAAGAUGGAUAUAAAGCUAUAAAGAUGGAUAAACUCGAUGCUUUUAUAGGGAAAUGGAUGCAACUUGAGUCCAUACUCGUAAGUGAAAUAAAGCACACUUGCGUGUGUAAACAUUAUAUUGUCUCUUUAGUGUAAAAAACUGAAAGAGAAAUAGGAUCCAAAAUGUACAAUAGAUAUUGUGAAAGUAAAAGGGGCAGAAACUGCUUAAAAGGAAAGAAAACUUAGGAUGGGGGAAAUGAGAAAAAAAAGAAAGGAAAAGAUUAUAUAUGUCUCUGUGUGUGUAUAUAUAUAUACACACAUAUACAUAUAUUUAUAUAUACACAUACAUAUGCAAGACAGGUAAUUAUACUACUAAUCUCUGUUAGUUCAUCAAAAAGUUUUGCGCUCUCUUUUGAUCAUUUUUCAUGGCUAUAUCUUGUAAUCUGAGUAACUAAAGAUAAUUCACAAUAUAUUAAUCAUUGUUAAUCUAUUAUGUUGUUUUGAAAUUCUGUAUUCAUUUUAAAGUAAAAAAUGAAAAGAAAAUACAUGUGCUUCUUUAGUAAUAAAAUAGAUGACAAGAUUUAGCAGCACAGCUAAUGUCAUAAUUCCACAAAUCCUGAUGCUAUAAUUCCAAGUAGGGAUGAGCAUAAAUGGUGUUCAAGAUAUUUGCUACAACCAAAAUGUGAUCCGCAAACAAUCUGUAAUUUCUGUUAGCAGAAAGCUCACAGACACCAUAGCACUGUUGUGCCGUGUUGUCUAAAUUCAUGACUGAAGAAUGUGCUAAAUUUCAAUUAAAGGUUAAAGAAAAUAAAGAUAUGAUAUUUUUCUCAUCUUGCUUGGAGACACCCUCUAAAUCCUAUGUGUGGAUCCCAGAUCCAGAACUUAAACGUGUUGGAAACUGAUUCGAGGAAAUGACGCUUUUCUUGCUGAACUUCAGGAUCACCUAACUAUUGACCUUCCGGGUUAUGUGAAGAUGACCAAGUGACGUCCAGCCCCGUUGCUGUGUGAUGCAGGCUUGGCUAUGACCUUCAAAGUUUGUUACCUCACAGGCAUUGGAGAGGCCAGCAGGCACAGCCCGGGGGCCAGGCACAAACUGCCAUUUUUGCGUGGACAAGGAAAGUUCUCCUAGCUGCGGGAAAUGAAGCAAUACCACAAACUGCUCAGCUGGAUAAGGAUGGGCUCCAGGAUAAUCUCUAAAAGGAACAGGGCAAGAACAGAAGGCAGGAACCAAUCUGAGGACACAGGGGAAAGCCAGGAAGUAGGAUUGGGAUCCGAAUUUGAGUCUGAGUUUUACCCUUGGCCUCUGGGUGACUUGGGAAAAGUAAAAAUUCAUUUCUUAAUCUGUUCUGUCCUGUGGCGAAAUGAGGCGUGGCUCACAGAGUUUUUGCGAUGGGCGCAUGCGCGUAUAGGCCAGUUCUGUGCGACCUGCAAAGCCCUGCACAGGCUUCAUUGUUACGGUCCUUUGCCAACGGCCGGGCAUUUAACUUUACUCCGGAUGGGUCUCUGCUUAGCAUCUGGACACUGUACUCUCGCUGCAGUUUGCAAGUCCAGGCGACUCACUCAAGGUUUCUGUUCCUUUUCCUCUAUGGAGACACUGCAGAGACUGGCUGCGCGUCCAAAAGGACUGACUGGAACGUCCAAAGAUGGAAAAAACCGUUGAGUGGCUGGAGUUGGUGGUGGCUGAAUGGAAGUGUAAACGAGCGCCUGGAGAGAAGUGACAAGCAGGAGAGGCAUCGGCAGGACGUUUGAAAGUGACGGAAUCUCGUACUCUGCUUCCCUUCCAUCAGCAUGAACACACCUGAUAUUUUAAAAAGCAGAGAGAAAUCAGGAUGGAUUGAAGAUUUCUGGACUACUUGAAAAGGGUGACCUACAAUUUAUUCAGAAAUAAGGAGUGAUCUUCAUUGAAAUUACAUUGAGCUCUAAGGGGCCAGUGAUGAAAGUUCAGAGGCCUGGACUGUCAUAAAAUUGCUGGCAAAUGUCAAGCAAUACCAACAUAAUUGAGAAGUGUAUAAUUAUCUAUGUCACUACUCAACAAUGGUGUGGAGAUAAUGAUGUAAUUACUUUUUACCACAUUCUAGGACCAGGAAUUAGUGAUUAUUUUGUGUCAUCAAAGAUAUCAUUUAGAAUCUCUUCAUGUACUUUUCAAAUUACAUAUAUAUUAAAGAAUGAAAAUGACUGUGUAUGUUGAAAAACAUAGAUGGGAACUUUUAUAAUAAAUAUUGGGACCAGGUGUGGUGGUCCACAUCUGUAAUCCCAGAACUCAGGAGGCCAAGACAGGAGUGCAGUAGCCUGGGCUACAUAAUAAAACACUAGGCUACAUUUAUUAUGUAGCCUGGGCUACAUAAUAAAACACUAUCUCAGAGAACUAAAAUAAAUACAAAUAAAUAAAUGUUGGGACCAAAAUUUCUUUUUUAUUUUGUAAGCAGUAGUUUUUAUUUUAAAAAGAAUAAAACCUAGCAAAAUAAAUCCAAUCAAAACAAAACAAA